rnacentral:lncRNA from 1 species
CCCACAUAGGCAAAGUGGAAUAUGUUUGUGAAACUCCCUGGAAAGACUUGAACAAAUGUCAAUUCAUCCAAGAUGAGGGACUAAUAACAGACUGAGGAUCUUUCACUGAACGUGGAGCCAGACUGGACACCAGCAAGCCCCAGAGACCCUCCUGUCUCCACUCCUUGAAAUGCUAGGGUCACAGGUGUGCAACGGCCAUAUUUGGCUUUUUAUGUGCACUCUGAGGACUUGAACUGAGGUCCUCACAGUAGCUCAGCAAGUGGUCUUACUGUCUCAGCCAUUUCUCCAGCCCCACGUUGUCAGAGUUUUAAAGAGAAGCUGGCAACUCAAGCUUUUUAUGUGAAAUAACUGUUUAAAAAAAAAAUAGUAGCAACUAAAUAAAAUUAAAAGUGACCACUCUAGAGUGCUGUCCCGU